rnacentral:rRNA from 1 species
GGCGGCAUGCCUUACACAUGCAAGUCGAACGGCAGCACGGGGGCAACCCUGGUGGCGAGUGGCGAACGGGUGAGUAAUACAUCGGAACGUGUCCUGUAGUGGGGGAUAGCCCGGCGAAAGCCGGAUUAAUACCGCAUACGCUCUACGGAGGAAAGGGGGGGAUCUUAGGACCUCCCGCUACAGGGGCGGCCGAUGGCAGAUUAGCUAGUUGGUGGGGUAAAGGCCUACCAAGGCGACGAUCUGUAGCUGGUCUGAGAGGACGACCAGCCACACUGGGACUGAGACACGGCCCAGACUCCUACGGGAGGCAGCAGUGGGGAAUUUUGGACAAUGGGCGAAAGCCUGAUCCAGCAAUGCCGCGUGUGUGAAGAANGCCUUCGGGUUGUNAAGCACUUUUGUCCGGAAAGAAAACCUCCGCCCUAAUAUGGUGGGGGGAU